rnacentral:lncRNA from 1 species
CAGCUGGGCCUAAAGGCCGAAAGGAGAAAGGGGGAGGGGAUUCCAUUCUCUUUUUUUAAACAUAUUUUCCAAAUGCAUUUCUUUUUCUUCAAAUAUUUUCUUGGACAAGAUAUUUUGGUUUUUAAAACAAUCAUCACAUAAAAGAAAUGCAUCAGCAUGUAUGCAACAAAAUAUUUCUCUAAACUUAUAUUAAAUUUUAAUUUCCCCAAAUUUAUUUAUUUUCCUAUAUUGAAAAUUCUCACUAAAUAAUUCAUUAAAUUCAAUUCAUCUAUUUUAAAUAAAUAAAAUUUUUUUGGGUGUUACAAUUUCUCAUAACAAAUCCUUCAAAACAAGAUCACACAUGGAUUAUAUUUAGAUAAAAUUUUAUUAAUGAAUAUUUAUCUCUACAACUAAAAAUUAUGGAGAGGACUCAUACACAACUUAAAUCCUUUUGGUGGUCUUUUUUACUGCACGAUGACACGCUAUCCCAUCAACCUAGGCCCCACUCACCUAUCCAUGCAAAAUUGUUUUAGCAAAUUAAAAAAGUCAUAACUAGAAACUAGAGAUAUAAAUUAAAUUCUGAUUGCACCAUUAAAUUUCUUAUAACAAAUCCAUCAAAACAAAAUCACACAUGGAUAUAUUUAGAUAAAAUUUUAUUAAUGAAUAUUUAUCUUAUAAAGAUAAAAUAUUUUCUUUUAUUAAGUAAAAACAAUAUUCUAGGUUUAAUAGACAAUGUUCUGUCUUUGUAAAAAAAAUGUUAUCGAUUUAGAAGAAUAGUAUUUUGGUUUUAGGUUUAUAAAACUGAUAUUACAAUAUACAUAAAAAUACAUAAAUACAUGACAUAGAUAAAAAAUAAUAAAAAAAUUUAGAGUAAAAAGCAUAGGAAAAAAAUAAAAACACAAAAUGGAGAAAAAUUUCAAAUAAUGUCAAAGGGUUACUUUUCAAAUAUCAUAAAUAUAUCUACAGAACAUUAAUAUUACUAAAUACAUCAUAAAAUAUUAUUAAAUAUAUUAUAGAACAUCAUAUCUAUUAUAGAUUACAUGUAUACCAAGUGAACACCGUAAGAAACAUUAUAGAAUAUCACAUAUAUACUAUGAUAUUCAUAGAACUUUGGAUUUCCCCACAAUGAAGGAUGGGCGAAGGCAAGAUGGAGGACGAGGUGGGGCCGACAAACCUUCGGUGCACCUAAGCCGAAGAACCUUCGGCAUGCCUAAGCCGAGGAACCUUCGACACCUCCACGCCAAAGGUUCUGCGGCCGAAUGGAAGAUUCAAGCAUUGUCGAGCUAGAUGCCCUUGGCAAGGAGCGCGUGAGGAACUCGUGGCAUGAAAUUACCUAAGUGACUUGUGGUGAGUAGACUGUAACAUAGGGAUAUGCUGGGAUAUUCCCCCACCGUCACGGAGCAUUUUUGUAAUAUUCUUAGGUCGGUUUCCGAGCCCUAUAUAAAGGGAAUGAAACCACAUUUAAAGAGAGAGAGAGCAUUUACUAUUCCCUCCUACUGUCAAGCUCACUGAUCGUGAUUACUAAGCCUCUCGCUAUAGCACGUGAGAAGGCUCAGUAUGCAUCGUGUUGCUGGGGAGUGCAGUGCGUAUUUUUCCAACAUUGGCGCCCACCGUGGGGCUUGAAGGAUCACUUGCGAUGGCUGUAACACCCCAAAAUUUGCAAUUUUCCAAAAUAGGAUAAAUUAUUAAAUUGUGUAUUUUUGUGCCCAUGAAAUAUAGAAAAAAUAAUAUUUUUAUUUUGAUUAAAAUUUACUAUAGGAGUUAACAACUUGUUUGAGCAUGCAUGCCUUUGCAUUGGAUUUAUUGUGAUGAGUGGUUUUUGCUAAAGAUUGAAAGGGAAUUCAAAUUUGGUUUUGAAAAUGUUUUGGAAUAGGUUUGUUUUUAAAAGAAAAGAGAAACAGAAAAAGAGAAAGACUCUCCCUCUCUGGUCUUGGUCCGAAGGCCCAAUUAUUUUUUUCCCCACGGCCUGCUCCCUUCCUCCCCUUCUUUUCUCCCCCGCAUGGCCCAGGAACUCGCCCAGCCCACUGCCGAACCAGCCCAGCAGC